rfam:Nitrobacter sp. Nb-311A 1099473104496, whole genome shotgun sequence.
CGAACCGGAAGGCUUGGGAGAGCCUCAAGGUUCGAUCAAUCCGGUGUGACGGCCUGGGAGGGCCUUCUUCACACGGAUUCACAAGGGGAGAACCACCGAUGGAGAAUGCCCUCCUCAUCGGACUGUCGCGGCAAAUGAUGCUCG